UACGUAGGCAGCAAGCGCUGUUCGGAGUUACUGGGCGUAAAGGGUGCGUAGGCGGCUUUUUAAGUUUGGUGUGAAAUCUCCCGGCUCAACUGGGAGGGUGCGCCGAAUACUGAGAAGCUAGAGUGUGGGAGAGGAAAGUGGAAUUCCUGGUGUAGCGGUGAAAUGCGUAGAUAUCAGGAGGAACACCGGUGGUGUAAACGGCUUCUGACGACUAACUGACGCUGAGGCACGAAAGCGUGGGUAGCAAACAGG
rnacentral:rRNA from 1 species